AAGAAAAAUGCAGGAUACAACUUUAACCAUGAGAGUGAGUAUCUCUUGGACAUGGCUUAUGUUGCAUAUAAAAAUGGAAGCCUCAUGGACUUGGUGGAUAAAAAUUUGUCUGGCAUUUAUGA